rnacentral:ncRNA from 2 species
AAACCGAAUAGCCUCGCGGGUCCCCUUUCGGGGGCCAAGAGGGAAUCAGGUGCAAAGCCUGAGCGGUCCCGCCACUGUAACCGCUGAGCGCGCCGGGCAUCGAUCCACUGCCCCACCCGGGGCGGGAAGGAAGCCGGCCGCGAUGAUCGGGAGCCAGGAGACCUACCCGCGGAGCAAUUCGUGG